rnacentral:rRNA from 1 species
UUGGCCUUGACAUACUAAGAACUUUCCAGAGAUUGGAUUGGUGCCUUCGGGAACUUAGAUACAGGUGCUGCAUGGCUGUCGUCAGCUCGUGUCGUGAGAUGUUGGGUUAAGUCCGCAACGAGCGCAACCCUUUUCCUUAUUUGCCAGCGGGUAAUGCCGGGAACUUUUAAGGAUACUGCCAGUGACAAACUGGAGGAAGGCGGGGACGACGUCAAGUCAUCAUGGCCCUUACGGCCAGGGCUACACACGUGCUACAAUGGUCGGUACAAAGGGUUGCUACCUCGCGAGAGGAUGCUAAUCUCAAAAAGCCGAUCGUAGUCCGGAUCGCAGUCUGCAACUCGACUGCGUGAAGUCGGAAUCGCUAGUAAUCGCGGAUCAGAAUGCCGCGGUGAAUACGUUCCCGGGCCUUGUACACACCGCCCGUCACACCAUGGGAGUUUGUUGCACCAGAAGUAGGUAGUCUAACCGCAAGGAGGACGCUUACCACGGUGUGGCCGAUGACUGGGGUGAAGUCGUAACAAGGUAGGCGUAGAUGA